UCCUUCUUCCUCUAUUGGAUGCCAUGGAAGUAGAAAUCUUCAGGAUUCUUCUUAGCUUUGAUUCUGAGAUUUUUG
rnacentral:sRNA from 1 species